rnacentral:misc_RNA from 1 species
GAUGAAGAACGCAGCGAAAUGCGACAAGUAAUGUGAAUUGCAGAAUUCAGUGAAUCAUCGAAUCUUUGAACGCACAUUGCGCCCGCCAGUAUUCUGGCGGGCAUGCCUGUCUGAGCGUCAUUUCAACCCUCAAGCAACUUCUGCUUGGUGUUGGGGAUCGGCCGUCAAACGCCGCCCCCGAAAUCUAUUGGCGAUCUCGCUGUAGCUUCCUAUGCGUAGUAGUAACAUCUCGCAUCUGGAGAGCGGCGCGGUCAUGCCGUAAAACACCCAACUUCUCAGGUUGACCUCAGAUCAGGUAGGAAUACCCGCUGAACUUAAGCAUAUCAAUAAGCGGAGGA